UACUCAGCUGAGGCUCCCGAGGC
rnacentral:misc_RNA from 1 species